GCCUCCAUCUCCCUCAUCAAUGACUCACCCAACUUGGGUUGGCCAGCAUUAACAUAUGCCAUGAUCAUUGUAUUGUAGACCGUCAUAUCCUGUUUGAAACCAUUGCUCCUCAGGCCUUCGAAUAUUGCUUUAGCACGGUCUGGAUUGCCUGCCUUGCAGUGCAAGUGCGCUAAAGCUUUGGCUAUUAAAAUAUCAGGUUGAAUACCAUUUUCAUUCAUUUUCUUAAGAAUCCUCUCAAUAUCUUCUAAGCGGUUCUUUUCAGCAUGGGAAUCAAUGAGCACAUAAUAGUCAUGAACAUUUGGUUGGUAAGAUUUUUCACUCAACAAAAUUUCAGCUACCUUAAAAUAUAAGGACAUAUUCUUUUCUUUCAACUUAUCAAGCAAAGUCAACCAAUCAACCCUGCUAGGUUGUAGAAGCUCUACCCAUUCAGCCAGCAGUGGGGAAGGGUCAUCCCCCUCUCUCAGUGAAAGAAUUUUCUCAGUGACCAAUUUACUUUUACCAUGUAUUGGCUUAGGUUCCUCGGACGAAAUAAUCGUCUCAGCAGCUUGAGCCC
rnacentral:misc_RNA from 1 species